rnacentral:rRNA from 1 species
UACGUAGGGUGCGAGCGUUGUCCGGAAUUAUUGGGCGUAAAGAGCUUGUAGGCGGUCUGUCGCGUCUGCUGUGAAAAUCCGGGGCUCAACCCCGGACUUGCAGUGGGUACGGGCAGACUAGAGUGUGGUAGGGGAGACUGGAAUUCCUGGUGUAGCGGUGAAAUGCGCAGAUAUCAGGAGGAAUACCGAUGGCGAAGGCAGGUCUCUGGGCAUUACCUGACGCUGAGGAGCGAAAGUGUGGGGAGCGAACAGG